CAUUAUGCACACACACCACACACACCACAAACAUACACAACGUAUACACAGACACAGAAUAUACCACACACAACACACACACAUAACAUACACCACAUACGCAUACCAAAUACGCAUACCACACACACACCACACAUACCCUGUGAAGGCCACGCACACACAAAGCGCAGAAACACACCCCCACACAAACACAUGCCAAGACACACACACACAAACAUACACCACAUGCAUGUUAUACACACACAGCCAAACAUCAUAAACACACGUUACACCCAUCACACCGCACACACACGAUACCCCAAACACCACACAGUCUGCAGCUCACCCCGUGGGCCCAGCCUGGCGUUCUGGAGGAAGGGAGAGGAGGGUGGACCCCAGCUUCGGCCUCUGCCCCUGCAGCCUUGUCCCCAUCCUCACCCGGACCCUGACCCUGGCCCUCGCUGGCUGGGCCUCUGCAGAGGCUUCCUGAGGAGGAAGGUACUGCCCUGACCUUCACAGCUGGGGCAAGUGUGGCCCAGUGAGGUCAAGGGAGGGUGCAGAUCCCAGAGGAUAGCAGGACAGGUGCAGCCACGUGGCUCUCUUCUCUCUAUGACCCCAGGCAGAGGUGGCGUGGGUGUUGCCUGGGCAUUGCACACGCACCUCCUGCUGCAGGCUGCAUCACCCGUCUUGCAGGUCUUGUGCUCCUCCCAAGGGUCACACCCACCUAUGCAAAUAACCUUUGGGACGAGGAAGCCCCACCUGCAGCAUGAUACCAGGCUAGUGGCUGGGCUUCUGGGACCCUCGGUCUCCUCUUUGCAGGAAGGGAAUGAUAAAAGGAGUGGAAGCCCGAGGACUUCCACGGGGGUCCCCUGACAGAUGGCCCCAGCAGUGACCUUGUGCAAAACCCAGGAGCCACCCCUGCCAAGUGCUGGGCGUGUCUGUGGAGCAGAUGAGGCCACAGGCACUGGCCACAGGACUGCGCUGUCUGGAGAGGGAUUCGCACACAUUUGCAGGGGUGCAGGGCUGGUGUUCUCAGGAUUUUGCCUGGCUUCUCUGGAUCCGGAGGUCCUGGGAAGGUGGCUUGGACCCUGGUGGGCGGAGUCUUUGAAGUGCAGUCUGGAAUCUUCCAUGCACAGUUGGGCGACCUGGACAGUGCCCACUGUGUUCUCUAGAGAGUUCCUCAAGGAUGCAGCCCCUUUGUCCAGACACUGUUGCAGGAGGCAGGGAGGGAGGCCUGCCCCAUGUCCCCUGGAUGGCAGGAUGGGCUCCCACCUUGUGUCUGGCUGGGCUGUAGUGUGCGGGGCAGCCAAAAGGCACCCUCCGGGUAAUCAAGGCCUACCCCACAUGGGGACUCUGGUGAGAACCGGGCCUCCACCGACCCCCUGUCCAGGGUGCAGGAGCCAGGCCCGUGCUGUCAGCUGUGUCUGUUUGUCUGUGGUUUCCCUGUGGCUUCAUGGCACAUGCAGGUCUCUCUUCAUGCUUUGGGUGUGGAAGCCGUCGUCAGCUGAGAGUGUUCUGUGGGUGGGUAGCUCUCCUUCCUCCUGAAUUUGGGGUGACCUUCUGUGUGGAGGCCCAUGACGGUUUCCCAUGCAUUCCGGGGCUCUGGGAUGCUGUGGGCACGAGUUCUGGAGGGGUCUGCACACCUAGGUUCAUCUCACGGGCCUCGGGGUGGGCAGAGGGUCCUGGACUGCAGGGACUUGCCCUUCUUUGCAGCUUUGUGCUUUGGUGGUAAAGAAAGGGCUGUGUCCUCAGCCACACUGGGAGCUGCUGCCCUUGCGUGGAACAGGAGCAGCUGUUUGUGGGCAGUCCAGGUGUGGGCUGCAGGCGGGUCGGGGUGGGCUGCAGGCAGGCAUUUAAGGAAGUCACAGCUCCAGGCACCAAGGAGGCAGUGGCUGCUGGCCCUGUCCUUUGCUGCAUUUCUGUGGACUCCUAGCCCAGGGAAUGGAGCCCUGGAGGGUCCCAGGGUAGCCGGUGUCACCUGAAGUGUCCCAGGGACACCUGGUCCUCUGGCUGAUGGGGCCGCCCUGUGGGGUAGGCCAGGCCCUGGCUCUCUGGCCCUCAGGGCAGGGUGCGGGUUCCCCACUUCCCCGGCCCUCACACACACCCUUCCAGCCACCCGCGUGAGCAUGCUCCAAACACGGCCUUCUGCCCUUGCCUUUUCUUCUCCUUUUGCGUUUUAAAAAUCAAAUCAGCGGUUCGGAAGGCCUGGAGCUUGGAGGACUCACGCAGAGGCGGCCUUCUGCCUGCCCUCAGGGGCUCCUGAACUUCCCAGAAGCAGCCCUCCCUCCCAGGCUGAACUUUCUGUCUCAGUCCCCGCACUUUCCCAGCUAGGCGGGCUCCUUGUUCCUGCCCAUUUUACUCCAGAAGGGAAGCAGGCAGGCCCGGGUUAUCCUGCAGGUGCCAGGAGCCCCCUUGGCCAAGCUCCAUCUGUGCAUAAUGGGGGCUCCAGUGGUUUGGGGGGUUGGUCCAUGGGAGAACUGGAUGUUCACCAGGGGUCAGCAUUGGCCUUGAAGUGUGGAGAAGGGUCAUCUUGGCAGAGGUGGCAAGGUGGUGAGCCCCUGGGGCUGAGCACAGGUGCGUCUGGUGAGAGGGGCCUGGCCAUGACCGCAGUGACUGCUCUUCACUGUCACCUCCUUUGCUCCUCAGGCCACCUGCGCAGAGGGUGUGAUCCUUGCAUGACUUUGCCAUUGAGGAAAUGCAAGGGCAGAAAGUGCAGUCUCGGCGGCCGCCCGAGAACCAGGUGCCCUCUCUCCCGACUUUGCUCCCUGGAUGGGGCUGCACUGCCCGUCCUGAAAGGCUCUGCUGAGGCAUUGGGGGAAGGAAGGCAUUGCUCGCAGUGGGAGGGGUCCUGCAGAGGGUCCCAGGCAGGGUGGGUGCUACCUUCAAAGUUGACAGUGGGACUCCUCACCCCGUCCCCUGUGUUGGACUCGAAGUGGGUCCCCAUGGAUUGAGUCUGGUGGCUGCUGGGUAUCGGGGCUGGUUUCUGGGCUAUGGUCUCUUGCUGUGACAACGGGGACCUGCGGGGAUGGGGGCACGAUUCGGUGCCACCUCCCUGCCUCUGUGGCCUCCCGGUUGGGGCAGGGCAGGGCCUGGAGGUUCUAGAAGGCCCUUGGUUCAGGUGAGCACAGUGCCUUCGGGGAUGCUCCUGGCAGAAGACUCAGGAAUCUGUGGGAAGACCCGUCCCCGAGACCAUUCCAACUGGACCGCAUGGAGCCAACCUGGCCCCCCGUGAUCUUCCCUGGGUAUAUUUAGAAGAGGUCAUGGAGCCUUUACAAUACACACUCUUCAAAGUCAGCCUCUGCCUCAGAGAAGGUGGAUUUUAUUAGCCAAUUACCUUCCUUCUCCUCCGAUUACAGAAGCAGCCAAGCAGGCCUUCUGAUUCGCUUCACCGAUAGAAGAAUGCAGACCUUGCUUAUAAAUAACUGUGCUUUGCAGAACCAGAAAAUCCAUCUUCAGACCCUCCUGUCCCCAGGGAAUGCCUGCACAGUGACAACUCCCUGCUCCUGCCCGCUGGUUGCCUUGGGGACAACCUUGAUAGACAUGCUGGCCUCAGUUUGGCAUGCACGUAUUGAGUACCUGCUGUAUGCCGGACAUGGGCUGCUUGCUGGCGGAAGGUGGCCAGGGGGUGACUGGCUGGGGGUUUGGUAGGUCUCAUGGGAUCAUUUAUGUGAAAAGGCAGAGUGAGGACUUGAGUCUCUGCACCUGUGAGAAAUGUACACCUGUGGGGUCAGUUGGAGGUCCCCAAAGACAGAGCCACCUGGAAACCAGGGUCGGUUGGAGGUCCCCAAAGACAGAGCCACCUGGAAACCCAGGGUCGGUUGGAGGUCCCCAAAGAGCCACCUGGAAACCCAGGGUUGGUUGGAGGUCCCCAAAGACAGAGCCACCUGGAAACCCAGGGUCGGUUGGAGGUCCCCAAAGACAGAGCCACCUGGAAACCCAGGGUGCUCUCUCAUUUGGAAAAAGGGCCUUUGCAGAUGUAGUUAAGGUCAGGUUCUCAAGAUGAUGGUGCCUUAGGUUAGGAUGCACCCAAACUCCAAAGGCAAGUCCUUAGAAGAGAAGAGAAGCAAACAGAGAGGGGGCCUCGUGAAGAUAGCGCAGGGUCUGGAGUGAUGUGGCCACACGCUGAGGAGCACCCGCAGCCAUCAGGAGCUGGAAGAGGCAGGAAGGAUCCUCCCUGGAGCUUUUAGAGGAAGCGCAGGCCCAAGACACCUUGAUUUCCAACUUCUGCCCUCCAGAACUGUGAGAGCAGAAACUCCUGUUUUUAAGCCACGAGUUUGUGGUGGUUUGUUACAGCGGCCAGAGGAACCGGAUAUAGCAGGCCAAGCCGAAGAUCUUGUCACAGGGGAUUGCAGCCGACGUGUGUGUGUGUGUGUGUGUGUGUGUCACGCGCACAUGCACGCGUGCUUGGGGGUCUCUGGUCAGCGUGGCUGGCGGAUGGGGCCUGGGUCUGAUUCGGGUCCACCUUGUCUCAAGGAGGACCUGGAGGGGACAGAUGCUCCGUCAGCAUGAAGGGGAAGAUCCGGAUUCCCAUCCCGGAGGUGGAAUGCCACGGAGGCGAGGGCCCUUGAGUUGGGGGUUAAAGAAGAAGCUGGUUUUCCCGAGGAGAUCGGGGUUGGGGUGGCCAGCCCAGAAAUUCUUAAUGCUCCUCCUUCCAUAAAUCCAGCAUUGCCCAGAGCAAGGGCACGCACCGCUGUUGGCCUGCAAGAUGGUUUUAUGCGGAUGCGGACGGGCAUUUGUUAUUUUAAUAGCUGUGUAUCAGCUUUUAUGGCUACCUUCUAUUUAUGGCAAAGGCGCUGGCUUUCCAUUCACGGGCUGAUGGGAGGUUUCUUUUUAGCAGUGAGGUGAUACAUGGGUAUGGUGCAACCCUGGCGGAUUCACAGGUGGCCCAAGCCCGGGAGACACUGUUGUGGCUUCUCGAGCAUCUCCUAAACACCCAGUGUAGAGAAGGGGCUGAGCCUGGGCCGAGCUGACCACGAGGGGCUGCCAUACACAGACCCAGGACUGUGACUCUGAGAGCCCACCGGCUGGUGUACCUUUGAAAGUGACAUUUUCAUUUUUUUUUUAAUCCAAAAGAAAAUUGUGGAAAAGAUCAAUGUUUGUGCCCAGCCUCCUCCAGGCCAUUUCCUAUUCCAGUUGGAAUCCGUUGUGACCAGCUUCACAGUUACCUGCUCCUGUUGGGCGCCUUCUCACCGCGCGCUCGGGUGCAGUGAACUCUGGGAGCCGUCGCAGCCCAGGGAGUCCCCAAGGAAGGCCAGCUGGGGCCAUCCCUUAGCACGGCCUCCCCAGGCCUCCACUUCCCGAUCUGUGAAAUGGGACAGUAAGAGCUCCCCCGAGGCCAAGUCCUGCCGCCCUCCUGCCCUGCUGUGGACCCCAGUGCAACUGUGAGCAUCCGAGGUGGUGAAGGGGACCUCACAGCACACAGAGUGCACGGCGCUGCAGCCCAAGGAGACCUCAUCAGUGUGUCGGCUCUCAUUUUCGUUAUUUUUCCUAUUAUUUUCUCUAUCUUCUGAAGUCCUUAUGUAAGGAAUUAUGGUUUCCGGGGAGACCCAUUGUGAUAAAUGCCAGAAAACAAAAGCUUUUUUCCAGGGCGCUGAGGCCUGUGGAUCCUCCCAGGCCCUGGUCAUGCUCCUGUGCCCACAGAGUGGCCCUGUGUUUGCACUCUUUCUCUGGGGAUGCACAGGGGCGGUGAGAGGGAAGCAGGCGGCUGCUCUUGGCCAGUGGAACUGCCCGGCGUUGGGGUGCAGGCGAGACCCAGCGAGGCUCGAGGACUGCAGACUAUGCAGCAGAUCCUGGCAGGCUUUGGCUGUCUGACCCACUCGGAUGGGCGAGGAGAGAAAUGGGGGGACCAGUGGGACGUUCUGGGGUGCACGCAUGUAGGGGAAGCUGUUAGUGCAUUCUGAGCACCCGGUGCACAUAGGUUGACAAGCUCCGAGGCACACACACACGAGUGUGCACAGGCAGCCUCUGAGGGCUACGCCCACGGGGAUGGGAAGAUGGGGCUGGGAUAGGGAGGGCUGGGCCCCACCCUCUCAGGGACAUAGCCUGAAAACAGGGCAGUGCAGGACUCUGAUGCCUCACACAGUCCUCAGAGCAGCCCCGGUGUGAUGAUCCCCAUAGGCUCAUGCUCCCGUCGGCUGCCAGCCAUCUCUGCAUCCUGCCUUUGAGCCUCUGCACAGCCCUCAUCUGUGGGUGUCCAGAGCCUUCUGCAGAGGCCAGACUGCCACUCAGUGGUCCCCGCAUUUCUGUUGUCUACCAGGAGCACUGUCUGUAUUUUUAAGAGGUGGACAGAUAGCAGUGCAGACAGACGGAUGGGCGUAAGGACGGGCGCCCUGCCAGGAUGCUCCGCUGUCUCUCAGCCCCGGAGGCAAGUGCAGCUGGAGCUGAAUUUGCCUCCUGAGCACAUUUUUUUUUUUUUUUUUGGUGCUCAGAGUAGCCCUUGGGACUGCCCCAUGUCCCCAGCACACCUUCGGCUGAGCAGGGUGCCUGUACCCCUGAGGGAAUUUGCAGAUCAGCUCUCCCUGUCCACACGGGGCACAUAGAGCCCCAGCCAGGGUGGUUCUAGUUCUAGAAAGGAGUGCUGCCUUGAGCCUGUGACCGGGUGGUGGUGGUGAGCCUGAAUUUGGCUUUGGAAUUAGGCCCCUGAGUGUGGCCCUGCUGUGCUCGUACCCCUGAGUUUGCAGCCUGCAUGCCCCAAUUGGGGCCCGCCAGUGGCAAAGCAGUUCCCUUCCCACCUACUCAGGGGAUGUGCAGCCAUGGAGCCUGGGAGGAGGCACCACCACCACCCGUGAUCAGCUCCAACCUCAAACUUCAGGGAGACAUGGUUCCCCAAAUGGUUGCCCCUUCCAGGUUCUCCUCUUCCCGGCGCGUCAGUGGGGGUGUGGUUGUGCCCCAAGGCUCCAACAGGUGUUAGGGGGAGUGGAGGCAGCUGACAGAGCAGGGGCUGGCGUUAUCCUGUGGAAGAGGUCGGGGAAGUGGCCAUGUGUGUUAGAUCCGCAAGUGCUGCCGGUAGCUAUGAGGAGCUCCCUGAUCAGAAGAGCCCAGGUCUCGUCUCUGGAUUGAAGCCACUGGGGCUCUGUGGAGGCCACCAAGAGACCCUGCAUCCGUUCCGUGGACAAGCCACAAUAAGGGAGAUGUCACACAUCUCCAGACGUGCUGCCACACGCAGUGCAGCGGGCAACCUGCCCAUCAGGCUGCAGGGGACGGGGUGCCUCUGGGGACUGGCUCCCAGCAGCCCUGGAGGUCCUCUUGCACUGUUUAAUUCGUGUCUACACAGGGCCACGCUCACAUCAGCGUGCUCUAAUCCUUUAAGAACUGAGAUUGUCUCCAACUACAGCUGAGUUACAAGCUGCAUAAAUUAAAACUUCUCAUACAUGGUAUCUUGUAGCCUUAUUAAGUGGCAAGAUUAUGCAAAACAAUCUGUAAGUAUGAUAAUACAACUUUCGCCAUGGUUUGUAACAGGACAUUUGUUAUCUCUCAUUCUGCUCUAAUUAAGCUCCAUUCUGGAGGAAUUAGUGGUAUUACUGUUUAAAUCUUAACUUUUGUAUUAAGAAAGCAUGUUCCAAAGCUUUUGAAAUGCAUCUUGAAAGCAGUGCCUGAAUUAACAGGUUUAACAAGGAGCGUAGGAAUUUCAAAGCUCGGCUAAUCUGUAGAAAUUAUGGUAGCUGUGCCAGAUUUAUUUUUCAUUUAAUUAAAACAAAAAGUUGUUUUGCUGAAA